AAUAGAUACCCUGGUAGUCCAUGCCGUAAACGUUGGGCACUAGGUGUGGGGCUCAUUCCACGAGUUCCGUGCCGCAGCAAACGCAUUAAGUGCCCCGCCUGGGGAGUACGGCCGCAAGGCUAAAACUCAAAGGAAUUGACGGGGGCCCGCACAAGCGGCGGAGCAUGCGGAUUAAUUCGAUGCAACGCGAAGAACCUUACCAAGGCUUGACAUACACCGGAAUCAUGCAGAGAUGUGUGCGUCUUCGGACUGGUGUACAGGUGGUGCAUGGUUGUCGUCAGCUCGUGUCGUGAGAUGUUGGGUUAAGUCCCGCAACGAGCGCAACCCUCGUCCUAUGUUGCCAGCACUUCGGGUGGGGACUCAUAGGAUACUGCCGGGGUCAACUCGGAGGAAGGUGGGGAUGACGUCAAAUCAUCAUGCCCCUUAUGUUUUGGGCUUCACGCAUGCUACAAUGGCCGGUACAAAGGGCUGCGAUACCGCGAGGUGGAGCGAAUCCCAAAAAGCCGGUCUCAGUUCGGAUUGGGU
rnacentral:rRNA from 1 species